rnacentral:rRNA from 1 species
GACAGAGGCCUCAAGCGUUAGGCGGAAUCACUGGGCUUAAAGCGUGUGUAGGCGGAUCGUUAAGUACCUUGUGAAAUCCCACGGCUCACCCGUGGAACUGCUGGGUAUACUGGCGAUCUUGGGCCAACUAGGGGCAGCUGGAACAAGCGGUGGAGCGGUGAAAUGCGUAGAUAUCGCUUGGAACGCCGAAGGUGAAAACAGGCUGCUAGGGUUGUGCCGACGCUGAGACACGAAAGCCAGGGGAGCAAACGGG